GGGGUCGAAUAUGGUUUCGACUGGUCUAGUUUGAUUUAGACUGCAGUGGUGUGAUGACCUAAUCAUCAAAACAAAUUAAACGCUAACACUAAUUUAGCCUUUGCCUAACCAAUAAGCCGACGCAGGCUUUAGGCGCUUCUAUCUGCCAGGUUCAUAACAGGUAGUCGUAAACAUGAACUAGGUGAAGCAAGUUGCGCUCUUUCCCUUGCCAUCCGAAAACCGAAAAGGCGGAUUCAAUAUCUGGUCGUUUAAGCCAAGGGUAUUGUCUUAUUCAAAGUUAAACUAAACUGUAGACGUUUAAAUGUGGGAUUAUUCCAGGACGAGGGUUCGAGUCCCUCCGACUCCACCA
rnacentral:tmRNA from 1 species